UCUCUCCCAGCUCUGCAUGGUCACAUCUGCCUCCACACGUGUGACUUUUGUAAUGUGGAGAGAGAGCAAGGGUCUCCUCAGGGCCUCAGGCUGGCCUUCUCAGUGGCCACUCUUCCCUCGAGGGGCGUGACAGGC